rnacentral:pre_miRNA from 1 species
UCUUAUGGACAAGCAAAGGAAGUGGUUUUCUGGGAUGGAAUCUACUCCAGAUGAAGAUGCUAUGAA